GUGUCGUAUCGCACGUCGUAAUAAAAUAAAUUCAGCUGGAAGCUGCACGUGUUUAUCAGAAGUGCUGAGCAGAGUAGUAUUUUAUUCUAGAAUUAUUUUUUUAUACUGCGAGACACCAAUGGCAUAAUAUAAUUCGUAUACAAGUGUAAAAUUGAGCGUGAGAAGCUGUUUUUAGUACAACAAGAAAUGACUGUUGAACAGUGAUAUCAAUCAUGCUCCAACAAACAAACAAAAGACAAAAAGAACAUACACAACACUGAAAGUACAUGAAAAUUAAGAAGCUGCUGAAAAAUGAAUUUCACAGGCAGCACAGGUAUAAAAAUGGUUUUGUUUAAACCAGUCUUUGCAUGUAUUAAUUGUCUCCAUUAAUUGCAGUUCAAUUUUGCCUAAUGAGAUGGAAUAAUAUUAGAAGUACAUAUGUUCGAAAACAUAAACAAGUACAGAAGUACCAAGUAAGUCAGAUUCUAAAGCACCGGAAACUUGGCCGUAUUUUAAGCAACUACACUUUUAAGACAGCUUCAUAAAAUACAAAAGGUAUAUAUAGAAUUUAUAUCAGUUCGCAAGUGUCAACUGAUUUUGCAUACUUCAUUUGCAACACCAAAGAUAAUUUUCCAAUUAAUAAAGAAGCUCACAGCUCAGCAACAAACAUCACUCAAUGUGAAAGCCCUGCUGUUGCAGGAUGAUAUGAUCUUUUUACUGGAUACAGAGCCAGUAGAUAGCCACCAAACAGUUAUGUCCACUGAAACAGAGCCUUUUAAGAUUGUCCGGCGCCGCGGCGAAGUGGUUAGCGCGCCUGCCUGUAACCAUUAGAUAAUGGGUUCAAGGCUCGUCGCUGCUACCAUUGUGGGCGUAUGUGUCCUUGGGCAAGACACUUAACGACAAUUGCUCCAUUAAUGGGUUGUCCAAAUUAUCAGCCAUACAUCAAAAAAUAAAAAAAAAUCCCCCAAAAAUAAUCACCCACAAUUAUGGGAUAUGUAAAGAUAGACGUAGGUAUUUAAUACCUCACUUUAACAUAAUGGAAUAUAAAAAAAUCCUUGUGAUUCAGGCGAAAAUAACUGUACUGAUUGCACAGAGUGAUGCUGAACCAGAAUAACAAAUUGAAAAUGGGACUUUACAGUGUAAAUAUGUACAUAUGUUAUUU